rnacentral:rRNA from 1 species
AGGACGUUGGUUCUAUUUUGUUGGUUUCUAGGACCAAUGUAAUGAUUAAUAGGGACAGUUGGGGGCAUUCGUAUUUAACUGUCAGAGGUGAAAUUCUUAGAUUUGUUAAAGACGAACUACUGCGAAAGCAUUUGCCAAGGAUGUUUUCAUUAAUCAAGAACGACAGUAGGGGGUUUGAAGACGAUUAGAUACCGUCGUAAUCUCUACCAUAAACUAUGCCGACUAGAGAUAGGGAAAUGCCUACCUUGGCUUCUCCUGCACCUCAUGAGAAAUCAAAGUCUCUGGGUUCUGGGGGGAGUAUGGUCGCAAGGCUGAAACUUAAAGGAAUUGACGGAGGGGCACCACCAGGCGUGGAGCCUGCGGCUUAAUUUGACUCAACACGGGGAAACUCACCAGGUCCAGA